UGCAAGUCGAACGGUGAAGCCAAGCUUGCUUGGUGGAUCAGUGGCGAACGGGUGAGUAACACGUGAGCAACCUGCCCUGGACUCUGGGAUAAGCGCUGGAAACGGCGUCUAAUACUGGAUAUGAGCCCCUUCCGCAUGGUGGGGGUUGGAAAGAUUUUUUGGUCUGGGAUGGGCUCGCGGCCUAUCAGCUUGUUGGUGAGGUGAUGGCUCACCAAGGCGUCGACGGGUAGCCGGCCUGAGAGGGUGACCGGCCACACUGGGACUGAGACACGGCCCAGACUCCUACGGGAGGCAGCAGUGGGGAAUAUUGCACAAUGGGCGGAAGCCUGAUGCAGCAACGCCGCGUGAGGGAUGACGGCCUUCGGGUUGUAAACCUCUUUUAGCAGGGAAGAAGCGAGAGUGACGGUACCUGCAGAAAAAGCGCCGGCUAACUACGUGCCAGCAGCCGCGGUAAUACGUAGGGCGCAAGCGUUAUCCGGAAUUAUUGGGCGUAAAGAGCUCGUAGGCGGUUUGUCGCGUCUGCUGUGAAAUCCCGAGGCUCAACCUCGGGCCUGCAGUGGGUACGGGCAGACUAGAGUGCGGUAGGGGAGAUUGGAAUUCCUGGUGUAGCGGUGGAAUGCGCAGAUAUCAGGAGGAACACCGAUGGCGAAGGCAGAUCUCUGGGCCGUAACUGACGCUGAGGAGCGAAAGGGUGGGGAGCAAACAGGCUUAGAUACCCUGGUAGUCCACCCCGUAAACGUUGGGAACUAGUUGUGGGGACCAUUCCACGGUUUCCGUGACGCAGCUAACGCAUUAAGUUCCCCGCCUGGGGAGUACGGCCGCAAGGCUAAAACUCAAAGGAAUUGACGGGGACCCGCACAAGCGGCGGAGCAUGCGGAUUAAUUCGAUGCAACGCGAAGAACCUUACCAAGGCUUGACAUACACCAGAACACCGUAGAAAUACGGGACUCUUUGGACACUGGGUGAACAGGUGGUGCAUGGGUUGUCGU
rnacentral:rRNA from 1 species